ensembl:lncRNA
GCCAAUCCACACACGUUUGGAGAAAGUUCUCGGAAUAGCUAUCCACUGUUUGCAGAAAAUCAUCCGCUGGCCUCUGAGGGAGCUCCUCAAGGGGGUUAAACAAAUCCUCCAUUAGUCACGAGCAAUGGGCUGAGCUGUAAAACCACAUCUGGAGAACUGCAUUUCAAAGACUCGUCCUCAACCUUUUAUGUCGCCAGGUGCUGAGCCAGGAAGAAUGGCUGGAUUAAAAUAUGUCGGUUGCAGAAAGAGAAAAAAAACCCGUGAAACUAUUCUAUAGCCUGUUCCUUCUCCCUAAUGUUUGGAAAAUACGAGCACAGGUGUUUAAGCAGAGGCCGGCCAGUGGCGAGUGCUCACAAGCUCUCUGCAACAUCUCCCAUGAAGAAGUGGUGUGCGUUUCUUUAUUCUGGAACGAGGCGAGAGCAGCAUGGAAACUCACAGGCACUGCACCCUCUGCUCUCUCACGGCCCCUUCCCUGUGAACAGCCGGCUGCCUCUGUGAGGACAGGUGGCAAGACACAAACUCCAAAGUGUGUCUCUCAUAUUACAGGAAAAGGCAUUCACUUUAGCCCGGACUGUUGGCUGUUGAUAACCUCUCUGGACAUGUUGGAGUCUUGUCCUCGUGUCAGGGUCAGGGGGCUGAACAGGUGCCCUGUCAGGUGAGGUUCCCAAAGAGAAGAAAACUUGUGGAGCAGACAUCACAAGCAAGAAGGAACAACUCUGUUUUACAGCACAGCACUUACAGUGGUUGUUAUCAGCUGCUGGGUCAUGGUGGGACCAAGCACCUGGAUGACCUUGCGGGCCACAUGGUGCUUAUGUGGUUGUCCGUGCUGAUUCAUUGUUAUAUAACAAAACCCUGCGGUGCACCUGGGCUAAAUGAUGGGAUUGUGUCCUCCUGUGUCCUCAGACGCCCUCAGACGCCCGGGCUUUGAUGCAUCUCACAGCGGCCGCACACUCCUGUGUGCAGCUUGGGAGUCACAUGAGGGUGUGAGGUGAGUCUACAGAUGCUCUGCUCUCCUCUGCUCUGAGCCUCUGGAGGUGUGGGCCACCCUUACAUGUGCCCGGUCACUUCCCAGGGUGAGGGGAGGGGGCUUUCUCCUCAAUCUCCGCCCUGUCCCCGAUGGAGAAGGCCCUUGGGGAAAGCUGAACAAACAUUAUCUCGUGAGGCUUGGUUCCUUCCUUCCAGGAAUUGGAUACCUUUCAGUUUGAAUCCAUUAUGAGCUCUCCAGUUGCAUGUUGUAAUUUGUGUAGAUUUUGUGAUUGGGCAGGAGGCUCACUCUGCUGUUCCUCACUCUGGUGUUCCUCAGUGGGAAUUUCAUUAACCUCAAUUUUUGUUAACAUUAUGGUGUAGAGUUUACCAAUUUUUAUCUUAAUUAUGAUUGCCAAUUCCACUUGUACUCAUUCUUCAUUAUUACUUUAUGCUUGAUUUAAUAAAUGUAAUUGUGCUUUUAUUAAUAGAAGUGCUUUGGUAUCAUUCUCUCUUGGGUUUAAAAGUGAUAUAGAUUUAUUAUAGAUUAUUUGUCCAUUUUUUUCCUUACUAAAAGUUAAUGCAUGGAUAAGUUAAAAAAGAAACCACCACCAAGUACUCUGGGAGGGGGAGGCAGGAACAUGUCAGGUUUGAGCCAGCUAGGGCAACUUAGCAAGACCUUGUUUCAAAGUAAAAAAAUAAAAAUAAAAACAGUUGAGGAUAUAGCUCAGUGCAAAGUUCUAGGGUUUAAUCCCCAAUGUCUCACAAAAACACACACAUUUGCAUACGCACACACACAUGCAUAUCCUGGAACUCAGAGCAUUUAGGUACCACCUUCUUCACACAUCAGUACAUUGGUGGUCAUCAAACCCUAACACUCAUAGAGCAUCUCCCACUGAGGUCAAAACACCACACUUGAAGAUAUCAAAGUGAUAGAUGAUACUGAGUUUUUAUUUUGUUUCCCUUCUUGCUUUGGCUUCAUAAUCCCAUUGGUGCUAAUUAGAGCAUUUUUGUCUUCAAGCUUCAGUGAGUUGUGUUCAGAAAGCAGCAGAACAGUGCAGGAGAAUGAGGGGUAAAUGAAGAGGCCAGGAGGAAGAGGGAAUCCAAUUUUGAACAAUUACAAAUGGUUGGUGGGGAAUGGCUGAAUGUCUGUUAGUGCUCCUGACUUUUUGCAACACAGUUACUGAGAAAAUAGAUCCUAUUACUCCACAAUGAAGGUGUUCAACAAAGUAAUGGCUCAGGCUCUGCUUCAUUUUCCUUUCCAAUUAAUCUCUUCAAAGUCUUUCUUCAUGGAGCCAUCAGAGGGUCAGGAGGCCCAGCAUCAGUUUCCUUCCCCAUGAUCCUUUUUCUUCUCAUGGCAUUCCCUUCCUUACCUUUGACUGGUUUUCUUUCUCCUUUUAGAGCCUCUAAAAUAUAUAAAGAAUAAUUUUUUUCCUUCAAAUUUGAAUCCAAGGUAUUGGUAAUUACAGGUAGAUGCUCUUAUGCACAGCAUGAUCAUCAUUCAGUGGGAUGGUUGCAUAUAAGGUAAAAAGAACAUUGUUAAUAACUGACACAUAGGGCCAGGGAUUUAGCUCUGUGGCACCGCCACCUUCCUCGAAAGCGCAAGGUCCCAAGUUGAAUCCCUGGUACCUCCCCGCCCCCCGCCGCCAAAUAACUGACACAUUAGACUUCUGAGCUAUCCCGAGACAUUUGAUAG